rnacentral:lncRNA from 1 species
AAAUUUAUAAUUUUAUUAAUAAAAAAUUAAUUUUUAAAUUUAUAUUUUAAAUUUAAUAUUUAAAAAUAUGUGAAAUUAUGAAAUCCGUUCCACGUGACCUUUUACGGUGCCGCCCUCGGACGUGACAGAGGGCAGAGCACAAUUAAAAGCAAGGAAAAGAGAGGAAGAACCCACGGUCUAGAAGUUUGGUACGGCAAGGAUGGAGAUCCGGUGUUGAUCCAAGAAGACCAAUCGACUUUAUGGGAUUCACCUCAGUUCUCCAGCUCCUGGAAUCAGCGUAACGGGCCGUUACAUCUAAUAACGGUAAAUUUGGAGUCUGAUAACAAUUCCUUUUCAUACAAGUAUGCCUCUAUCAAUUGUCAUUGCCGUUGCAUGGAAAGCGGGUUAUAGGUCCUCUUUAUGUAGUUGCAUCUUUCGUUUCUGCUAUUGGGACAAAAGUACUUUCACAAAUGUAUCCCUCAAAAAGAAUUGAAGUCGGAUGAAGCGAAAGUUCUGCUUGAGCGUCAUACCACUGGUGAAUCUAAAUUCAUCAAUAACGAUUGAGGGCCGCAUCAUCCUUCCCGAUCUCCCGCUUAGAAUAGUGGACUGUGGGAGCCGGUUCAUGCCAACGUCGGAGUGAGAAGGCAGGAGGAAACUCCGGCUCUAGAGGCACUAAGCCUACAAGGGUAAGCAAAGGAGCCACGGUAGUUUAUGGGAUUCACCUCAGUUCUCCAGCUCCUGGAAUCAGCGUAACUGACUGCGUCAAACGUUAUAUUGGACUUUCUUCAGUUGACUCUGGUGCCGUGUAUGACCAGGUCUAAAAUAAAUAAAUCACCAUUAAUAGGUUUGGAUGAAUUCGGAAGCGAGGCCUUGUCGCUUAUUCGAGGGUCGAAAAAAAAUCAGGCCAUUCCUAAUUCCCCACAGGGGUGACGCAUGGCCUAUAACCUGUUCUCGUAAAAUGUUUGUUUUAUUUAUAUUUAUAUUUUUUGUUAAAUCUGGUGACAAAAUAUAAAUUUUUUGUUAAAUCUGGUGACAAAAUAACCGUAUAUAAAUCUAAGAAAAUUGUUAAUGUACUAUGACAUACAUUGUCAAAACCAUAGAAAACAAGUAAAUUAGGUAGCCUUCGACUAAAACUUACUUUCAUAUGUUCCUUAAAAAAAAUACUUUCAUAUGGCAAUAUUAUAUUAUAUAAUAAUAAUAAUAUUAUUAUUAUUAUAUAUAAUGUAAUUUUUUGAGGUUUAUCAAGUUGAGGUUAAUUAAGUAAGGUUAAUUUUAGGCUUGGCUUCAAAUAAUUUCAAGUCUAGUUUCAAACUUUGUUUGAUUAGGUUCACAUUAAUCUUGAUUUGAGAUUAGUUUGGUUGGAGCUUAGUUAAGCUUGAGUUUCUUCAAUUAAUGGACAACCCUGGCUUGGACAUUUUUGAUAAGAGAUGAUAUUUUUUAUGUGAACAUUUGAAUAUUACUUAUGCAUAUGAACCACUAGCAUUAUGAAAAGAAUAAUGGCAUCAAUCACCAUAAAUAAUUAUAGAUAAUUUUCUUGCAGAUAGCAUUACAACUUACACACAAAAAAAAGAAACAGAGAAGGGAAAAUAUCAAUAUCUUGAGUCUCAGUGCAAGUAAUAAUGGUUCUUUAUGUGUAAAGAGAUAUGUCUUUUUCCAGUUUGACAGAAGCAUUUUUGUGUAAAGAGCAUUCUUGAUCUUCAAUCAAUGAUUCUAGGUCACUUUGGGUUGUUUGGCAAUUAUUUUAGGGGUGAGACGGGAUAAAUGCCUUAUCCACCCUCUUCCUUUUUCUGGUUCAGGCCUUCAGGUAUCCUACUAAUGUU